AGGGGUAACACCGUGAAAGAAGUUUGAUCCUGCGCUCAGAUGGGUAGCUUGCUCCCUGCUGUUAGCGGCGGACGGGUGAGUAACACGUGGGUAACCUGCCUGUAAGACUGGGAUAACUCCGGGAAACCGGGGCUAAUACCGGAUGGUUGUUUGAACCGCAUGGUUCAGACAUAAAAGGUGGCUUCGGCUACCACUUACAGAUGGACCCGCGGCGCAUUAGCUAGUUGGUGAGGUAACGGCUCACCAAGGCGACGAUGCGUAGCCGACCUGAGAGGGUGAUCGGCCACACUGGGACUGAGACACGGCCCAGACUCCUACGGGAGGCAGCAGUAGGGAAUCUUCCGCAAUGGACGAAAGUCUGACGGAGCAACGCCGCGUGAGUGAUGAAGGUUUUCGGAUCGUAAAGCUCUGUUGUUAGGGAAGAACAAGUGCCGUUCAAAUAGGGCGGCACCUUGACGGUACCUAACCAGAAAAGCCACGGGCUAACUACGUGCCAGCAGCCGCGGUAAUACGUAGGUGGCAGCGUU
rnacentral:rRNA from 1 species